rnacentral:rRNA from 1 species
UACGGGGGGAGCAAACGUUGUUCGGAAUCACUGGGCGUAAGGGCUCGUAGGCGGCCAACUAAGUCGGAUGUGAAAUCCCCAGGCUUAACCUGGGAACUGCAUCCGAUACUGGAUGGCUUGAAUCCGGGAGAGGGAUGCGGAAUUCCAGGUGUAGCGGUGAAAUGCGUAGAUAUCUGGAGGAACACCCGUGGCGAAGGCGGGUCCCUGGGACGGUACUGACGCUGAGACGCGAAAGCUAGGGGAGCGAACAGG